AAUUCAGUGAAUCAUCGAAUCUUUGAACGCACAUUGCGCCCGCCAGUAUUCUGGCGGGCAUGCCUGUCCGAGCGUCAUUUCAACCAUCAAGCCCCCGGCUUGUGUUGGGGCCCUGCGGCUGCCGCAAGCCCUGAAAACCAGUGGCGGGCUCGCUAGUCACUCCGAGCGUAGUAAUUUACAUCCCGCUCAGGGCGUGCUGCGGGUUCCGGCCGUUAAAAGCCUUAUUUUACCCAAGGUUGACCUCGGAUCAGGUAGGAAGACCCGCUGAACUUAAGCAUAUCAAUAAGCGGAGGAAAAGAAACCAACAGGGAUUGCCCUAGUAACGGCGAGUGAAGCGGCAACAGCUCAAAUUUGAAAUCUGGCCUCGGCCCGAGUUGUAAUUUGCAGAGGAAGCUUUGGGUGCGGUACCGACUGAGUCCCCUGGAACGGGGCGCCACAGAGGGUGAGAGCCCCGUAUAGUCGGACGCCAAACCUGUGUAAAGCUCCUUCGACGAGUCGAGUAGUUUGGGAAUGCUGCUCAAAGUGGGAGGUAAAUUUCUUCUAAAGCUAAAUACCGGCCAGAGACCGAUAGCGCACAAGUAGAGUGAUCGAAAGAUGAAAAGCACUUUGAAAAGAGGGUUAAAUAGCACGUGAAAUUGUUGAAAGGGAAGCGCUUGUGACCAGACUUGCGCCCGGCAGAUCAUCCGGUGUUCUCACCGGUGCACUCUGUCGGGCUCAGGCCAGCAUCGGUUCUUGCGGGGGGAUAAAAGCCUUGGGAACGUAGCUCCUCCGGGAGUGUUAUAGCCCU
rnacentral:rRNA from 1 species